rnacentral:lncRNA from 1 species
CACAUUUUUGGUAGGAUCCACUUGGAUCUGUCCACGUCAUUAUUACAUAAUAAUCCUCUUGGAGUUAAAGAUAUUUUAUUAUGAGAAUCAAGCUUGACCAAUCGGGAGUUCGAUUCGUUUUAUUAAAAAGAGUUUGAUCUUUACCAGUACGGAGUUCGCUCUUAUUCAACAUACAGUUCGCAUAGAGAAAGGCCGAAGCGAGGAGAAUAUUGUUCGAGGUUCGCGGCAGCGUCAAGACGCGGGAGUUCGGAGUCAACAAGAAAGAGUUCGGAAGAUCCGCGCGAAGCCCAAGAUAGUUCAAAUUCAAGCCGUUUC